UUUCUGUGUACGUUUAUGAACAAAAUGAUCGGAACACAAUUGUCUGUGAUUCCAGGGGCACCAGGUGAAAUCUUGCCUAGGGCAGCAAAUUGGCCGGCCGGCCCUUUUAUUGGACCCCCGGAAACACGCCCACUUUACGUCGUGGUAACGAAACCCCUGGAAUUUAGUGAAUGCCGAGGGGAACAUGAUUAGUUCUGCAUUGGACAGGAAAAUUGCAUGUAAGACAGAAAUGGGCUUAUAGAUGUAAAAAUCCUGCAUUCAACUCUAAAUAGUAGAAAUAGGAGAAAUCCAUUCAAAUGGUGAAUUAAGAAGCAGAAAAACAAUCACUACAAGAAAUGGUGACAUCACAAUAAGAGCAAGCAGCUUGUUCCUGCUGGGGUUCAGUCUGCUGUACAGUUUGGACUUUUGAAGACAACAUGAAGCUCAACAUGUAUGUAAACGCUGUGUGAGGAGGUUAUUAGGCAAACAUUCAUACAAACCUUUUCUGUUUUCCAGCUUUCACGUUACCAACAAUGUGGACUGAUAGGAUGUUAGUGACUGUUGUUCCUUGCAAUAUGACCUCUAUAUUUGUGAUCUUUAAGUUCAGACAGUCACCCCUGUCCUCUAGAAGUUGAUGUUACUGACUGUUGUUGGGUUUGUUGAGCCAAAGUACGUUCUGUCAUCAGCUGCUGUUGUUUUUCUUAGCCGAUCUGUUUGGUGUCUGUUGCUCAGUACAUCAGUGGUUUCUUUCUUUU